UUUUUAGUAUAAGUAUAUCCCAUGCAAUAUUUAGGACAUACUUCUUUAUACUAAAU
rnacentral:pre_miRNA from 1 species